rnacentral:rRNA from 1 species
UACGUAGGGGGCUAGCGUUGCUCGGAAUCACUGGGCGUAAAGGGUGCGUAGGCGGGUCUUUAAGUCAGGGGGGAAAUCCUGGAGCUCAACUCCAGAACUGCCUUUGAUACUGAAGAUCUUGAGUUCGGGAGAGGUGAGUGGAACUGCGAGUGUAGAGGUGAAAUUCGUAGAUAUUCGCAAGAACACCAGUGGCGAAGGCGGCUCACUGGCCCGAUACUGACGCUGAGGCACGAAAGCGUGGGGAGCAAACAGG